GAGUUUGAUCGUGGCUCAGAUUGAACGCUGGCGGCAUGCCUAACACAUGCAAGUCGAACGAAGGCUUCGGCCUUAGUGGCGCACGGGUGCGUAACGCGUGGGAAUCUGCCCUUUGCUUCGGAAUAACAGUGGGAAACUACUGCUAAUACCGGAUGAUGUCUUCGGACCAAAGAUUUAUCGGCAAGGGGUGAGCCCGCGUAGGAUUAGGUAGUUGGUGGGGUAAAGGCCUACCAAGCCGACGAUCCUUAGCUGGUCUGAGAGGAUGAUCAGCCACACUGGGACUGAGACACGGCCCAGACUCCUACGGGAGGCAGCAGUGGGGAAUAUUGGACAAUGGGGGAA
rnacentral:rRNA from 1 species